rnacentral:lncRNA from 1 species
UUUUAAGGUAUUUCUUGUUUUUUUUUUUCCCCACUUGCAGAAUGCUUUGAUGUCUUAAAUGGUACAUCCAAACUUAAGUGAAAUAGAGCUGUGAGGACAUUUUGGGGAGAAGUGACCUAGAUAAGCACUGACUGUUGCAUUCAUCUCUCUUCUUGCUGAUUGUGAUGAUUUCCUGUGCCAUAGCCAUUCAAAGUCUGCCAAAAAAGGAACACCAAAUUAAACAACUGUCUACACAAGAAAAAGUCUUCACAGGAACCAAAAAUCAGAUGAGUGAUCAUUGUACAUAGUUUUGACAUCAUAUCAAGGAAAGAGGCACUGAAGAGGGU